AAGAAAAUGAAAUUUAUGGAAGUUCUCCCAAUUUCCUCUUCUCAAAAUUCAAACCUCCACUCCAACAACAAUGGUCACUCAUGCAAUUUUAGGGAUUUAGUCUUGUUUUCUUUGCUAAUUUCAAUUUCUCUCCCAAUCAGAAAUUUCUCAAUCUCUCUCUUUCUCUCAAAUUUGCGGAAAAGGGGUUCCACAGCCUUUUGAGAAGAGAUCUUCAAUGUCUAUGCAAGAGGAACAAAAACCCAGCCUAUACGACCAACGUUGCUAUGGCAGAUGUUCUCAAAUCUCUUGAAAGUGUAAGUUUUCUUCAUCUGAUUCGCUCAAUUUCAUUUUGAAUCCGAACAAUUUUGUGUAUCGCUCACACUCACAUCAUUAACAAAGAUUAAAAGUUUUAUUGGAAGAUUUUAAAGUUUGUUGAUAUACUCUUAUAGUAUUUUUGGGUAUUUUUUGGUAUAUGUCUUGUGUGCCUUAUGAGAAACGAUGAUCUCCAGUGUCUGGAAGAUUAACUCGGACGAAAGCCUUACCUUGAGAUUUAGCUUCAGAGUCCUUGACAAAAGUUAUAGGAAAUUCAAUUAGCUUUCCAACGACGGUAAUUUCAGGGCAAUCAGAGCAGUACUUCAAGAUUUAUGACCGAUUUAGUGCACACAUAUCAAUAUGACGCGUCUAAAAAGUUUAUCCGGAAACUUCAAGAUUUCAGACAAGAAGUUGUAGCGACUUAGUGCAGCGGGAUCAGUACAUCAAUAGACUUUUUCAUGAUAAAAUUAUGGGCAGCAUUACUGAUCGAAGAUUUUAAUAACUGGAAUGUGAAAACUGAUGUAAUGGCUCGGAGUUAUUAAAAUUUAAUGAGGUUGCAAAGAGUGAGAAGCGAUGAAGAAAGCUGCCAAAAGGAAGUUGAAACCAUAUGUUGAGAAACCAAUGAAGAAACAGCGGUCAAGGGGAAGGUGAAACCAGACGUUGUGAAGCUAGAGAAGAGCAAGGACGGCUUAAAGACGAAAAAGACGACAAUGGUUGCGAAAGACGGGUCUAGUGGUGGAUUGAAGCCGAAGAGGAAGAAGAGUGUGCUUUGGAAAUGAGGCAAAGGAAGGCAAAGAAAAGUUUAAUGAUUUUUCAAAUUUUUAUUACAAAGAACUUACAGCAGUGUAACGACAAAGUUAUCUAUACAACAGUCUAACGACAAAGUUAUAUUUUCGUUUGUCUCCACCCCCUUUGUUUUCGUAGUCAUACUGUACAGUUUUUUAGAAUUUCAAAAUAGCUGUACAGUUUACUCUGAAUUUUGAAACAGCUGUACAA